rnacentral:rRNA from 1 species
CCUACGGGUGGCAGCAGUGAGGAAUAUUGGUCAAUGGACGAGAGUCUGAACCAGCCAAGUAGCGUGAAGGAUGACUGCCCUAUGGGUUGUAAACUUCUUUUAUAUGGGAAUAAAACGUUCCACGUGUGGGAUUUUGUAUGUACCAUAUGAAUAAGGAUCGGCUAACUCCGUGCCAGCAGCCGCGGUAAUACGGAGGAUCCGAGCUUUAUCCGGAUUUAUUGGGUUUAAAGGGAGCGUAGGUGGAUUGUUAAGUCAGUUGUGAAAGUUUGCAGCUCAACCGUAAAAUUGCAGUUGAAACUGGCAGUCUUGAGUACAGUAGAGGUGGGCGGAAUUCGUGGUGUAGCGGUGAAAUGCUUAGAUAUCACGAAGAACUCCGAUUGCGAAGGCAGUUCACUGGACUGCAACUGACACUGAGGCUCGAAAGUGUGGGUAUCAAACAGGAUUAGAUACCCUGGUAGUC